UACAGAGGGUGCUAGCGUGGUUCGGAAUCAUUGGGCGUAAAGGGCGUGUAGGCGGUUUGUUAAGUCAGGGGUGAAAUCCUGGAGCUCAACUCCAGAACUGCCUUUGAUACUGAAGAUCUUGAGUUCGGGAGAGGUGAGUGGAACUGCGAGUGUAGAGGUGAAAUUCGUAGAUAUUCGCAAGAACACCAGUGGCGAAGGCGGCUCACUGGCCCGAUACUGACGCUGAGGCACGAAAGCGUGGGGAGCAAACAGG
rnacentral:rRNA from 1 species